rnacentral:lncRNA from 1 species
UGCAAGAGAGGUAGUACAAAGAUAAUAUAUAGGCAAUACUUGAAACAUCACACAACCCAUAGUUUUAUGUAUUUACUUUCAAUUUUUCUCAACUAUUUCUUAGUCACACACCUCAAUCACCAAAAUAAUUCUAAUAGCUAUAACGUUCAUGUUUUAAUAAUCUGCAUUUGCUUUAUUUUAUUUUAUUUUGCAUAUAUCAAAUUUAUGUUCAAGGGGUGACACAAUUUAAGAUAUUUAGACUUUAAUUAACAAGGAAAAAUUACAUAUUAAUGUUGGAGGUUGAGUUAGUAACGUUAAGGUUAGUUGAAAAACCUUUAGUUUGCAAGGUGUCAAAGAUAUACUUAAGGUUUUUAACUUGCAAAGUCUCAUCUGCGUACAAUAACGGCAAGUCCAUUUUUCUAGCUGAAAUUAUACUUUAGCGAGCCAGGCAUCAAGGUCCAGCUUAAUGUACCACACGAAAGUAAAUAAAAAUAAAAAACAAAACAAAACAAACAAACAAAUUACAAAAAAUAUCAAGAAAACGAGUCGAGGAGGCCUCCGAAUCGCACAUACUUGAGAUGUGUGGUUUUUAUGAACACAUAUGAAGUAACAGGAAUACCUCCUUCACAAUACCAAACAAGGACCAAGUGCUACUUCUUUACAAGCAGGUCUAUGGAACAAUGUCUAUAGCUGCGAUUGGAAGCAGCACGUCUCGAGUUUCCAACUCUCGCGUAGGUAUCCCUGGAGAAAUGUGCCAAAAACCCAGAGCACUUCAAAAAUUCGCUGAGCUGUGGAUAACUCUGGACACAAGCAAACCACAUGACUUGACAAUACAAAAAUUCUUUGCAUCUUCCAGUGGAAAAAACAUUUCCGACAUAAAUUAAGAAGAAAUAACUGAUAAGCCCCUUACAAGUCCUAAAUGAACAUAUUAAGCACAACACGUGCUAAAUUCUUAAGAUUCCACAAGCGUUCCUCAAACGAAAAACAUUUAUCUACACUACGCGGCAUCUCAUAGUCCUGUGCAUACAACAAGGAAGCACUUAAAAGUACGAGAGGCAGACAUGUGAAAGCAUAUCUUUGCGGAAAGGAUUUUGACCGACCUCAUGGCGUCUGCCAAAGUCUAGUUGUGUGAGUGGUGAGGCCGGGAUGGAGGUGGCGGUGGAUUGCCAUGUGAUGCGUUAGCUGGUCCAUGACUUGCUGGUCCAGCAGGAGCCGAAUGUUCAGGGCCUGAGUCCCCGCCACCAAAUAGCCAUGGUAGACACAUGCUUCCCACUUACCUGCUCAUCAACAACCAACUCGUGUCUUCAAAGGAGCUAAUGAAAUUAAGCCUCAGGAAACUCACGGGUGCAAUAGGACACAUAUUUGUGCCCUCAAGGGCUGAACAGAAAAGAUUCGACGACAAUCAUAACCGGCUAACAUUGAAUUACAACUACGACCCUACCGUGAUCACGGCUCCGGCGCGAUAUCUUGGCCAGUCAGCUUGACGACUUCAUUUUCUCACAACGAGAUGUUAACAUGAUUGAUAGUAAAAGAUUUGCAACGAUUUUUCCUACCUAUGAUGGUCAGGAACGCAAAGAAUCUAACUCUAUACCUUACAACCAGUAACCGAGACGACCUUUCACGGCUAUGUUGCACUUUGCUUCAGCAAUACCACCAACCCUCGCGACAAUCUGAGACAAACCUCACAAAACUGCACAAAGUCACAAUACUAGAUCGAAUUGGGGAUACUGAUGACAGAAAGAGCCACUAUUAACCCUAAGCUCCAAUCUCUCAUCACUUUCUAAAACACAAAGUUCGAAUGAUUUCCACGACAUUCAAUCGACCAAAGACAUACUUUCAAAAUUGUUCACCAGGAAAUUGCACCAGAGAUCUCACGCAGACGCAAUACAGAGCCGUGAUAGAAAACAGGAGCUAGAAAUUUGAGUAACAUACUUGAUUAAUACAACCCUGUUAAGAUUAAAGCUCGCCACUGCUUCACUUGCUAACUUCCGAUCCAAUUCACAACGGGCUACACCGCAAGAACAAUCUCACCACUGAUUCAACAAAGGGCGUGUUGAGUCCCCUCCCCCUCAUCUGCUGAAUCCCAAUGCACCCAAGAGGCUGACACGUUGAUCCCCACGUGGUUGGAAGCAAUGAGACAAGGCCGCGAGAGAGACGACGAAGGAAAGAAAACUGCGGAAAGAAGCCGUGCCGCAAAGAAAUG